rnacentral:rRNA from 1 species
AAGUGUGGACGCCAGUCUGCAUGGAGCCGACCUUGAAAUACCACCCUUUAAUGUUUGAUGUUCUAACGUGGGCCCCUUACCGGGGUUGCGGACAGUGUCUGGUGGGUAGUUUGACUGGGGCGGUCUCCUCCUAAAGAGUAACGGAGGAGCACGAAGGUUGGCUAAUCCUGGUCGGACAUCAGGAGGUUAGUGCAAUGGCAUAAGCCAGCUUGACUGCGAGCGUGACGGCGCGAGCAGGUGCGAAAGCAGGUCAUAGUGAUCCGGUGGUUCUGAAUGGAAGGGCCAUCGCUCAACGGAUAAAAGGUACUCCGGGGAUAACAGGCUGAUACCGCCCAAGAGUUCAUAUCGACGGCGGUGUUUGGCACCUCGAUGUCGGCUCAUCACAUCCUGGGGCUGAAGUAGGUCCCAAGGGUAUGGCUGUUCGCCAUUUAAAGUGGUACGCGAGCUGGGUUUAGAACGUCGUGAGACAGUUCGGUCCCUAUCUGCCGUGGGCGCUGGAGAACUGAGGGGGGCUGCUCCUAGUACGAGAGGACCGGAGUGGACGCAUCACUGGUGUUCGGGUUGUCAUGCCAAUGGCACUGCCCGGUAGCUAAAUGCGGAAGAGAUAAGUGCUGAAAGCAUCUAAGCACGAAACUUGCCCCGAGAUGAGUUCUCCCUGACUCCUUGAGAGUCCUGAAGGAACGUUGAAGACGACGACGUUGAUAGGCCGGGUGUGUAAGCGCAGCGAUGCGUUGAGCUAACCGGUACUAAUGAACCGUGAGGCUUAACCUUACAACGCCGAAG